rnacentral:lncRNA from 1 species
UUCAUAGUAACAAGAACUACUAUACUUAUAUUAUAGAAAAAUAUUCGAUGUUAUAUUUUAAAAAAAGAAGGAGGACCUAUUCCAAAAAAAUUUUGUUUAUUUUUUUAGUGAUCUUAUUUUUUUACGGUGGUAUACUAGCAAACUGCCAACAUUAUUUUAAUAUCUUAUAAUGACCUCACAGCCCGUAAAAAAUAAUAAUAAUUGAUAUCAUAAUCUAAAAUUAUUAUUAUAAAUAUUUAAAUUCCUUACUCCCCAUGAGCUGAUCUCUUCAUUAUUUCGUUCUUAAAAUCUGCUUCCCAAGGAAGGAUUCAGACUCUACUCUCCUAUGAGGCCUAGUAGUCAUUUGAAAUUGAGCUUAAAAUUUUUUUCCAUCAGCUAUUUGGGAAGUUGAUGACAUCAUCCUUUGCAUCCAAUUAGUAGACAGAUUUAACUCCUUAAUCUAUCAAUAUCACCUUGACAAAUCAAAGUCUUCCGUUGAAAAAGAAAAAUUCACUUUCGGAAUCAAAGAUAUUCUAUCCUGUGUAAGAACAGCAGGGAGCUUCCAUUUUGUCUCUAUAUGGGUUCCAAAUUUCAAUAGGGAUGGGAUAGUGUCCUCAAGUCAUAAAGUGUAUCCCUUUGCUUUGAUGGUAUCUGGGCUUGAUGCUUUAUAAUGGUUAUUAAUAUAGUAGAAUAUAUUCUGCUCCGUAUAUACGGAACAAUUGCUCGCCUUCUUGGUCUGGGAAAUCCCUUCCUAGUGCCCCCAAAAAUAUUUUGGUAAAACUCAUGUAAAUAUUUGAGAAUAGACUUUGGUUCAGUUAGCACUUCCUUUUCAGUUACUAUUUUAUUAAUUUCUCUAUUAGAUAGUUAAUUUGUUGACAGAAUUUACAAUCUUUUGUUGGGAUUUUUUUCCAUCUGCUAUUGGGGAAGUUGAUGGCAUUCUCCUUUGUUUCCAAUUACUAGGAAGAUUUAAUUCCUUAAUCUAUCAAUCAGACCUUGACAAAGCUAAGUUUUCCGUUGAAAAAGAAAAAUUCCCUUUCAAAUGCAAAGGAAGGGGCUUCAUAUGGAGUUUGGUAUGACUUUUGAGAGGAAAAGUAAAUAUCCUGGAACUAAAAACGGAGUGAACACAGAUACCAUGUAUUGUUAGCUCAUUUUUUGUGAGUUCCUCUUACUUUAUUAAAAUAGGAUAGUAUAAUUUUUAAAGAUAGAAGAUCACCUAAAUUCUAAAAAAAAAGUUUCUUUACAUGAUUCUUACGAAUAAUAUCCAUGAUCGUUCCAUAAUUGUUAUAUCUCACAUCCAGGACCUUUUAGUUGAAUCUGAAUCUCUACUCUUGUAUGAAGCUUAGUUUGGAUUGGUUUUCUUCUUAGGAUGAAAUCUUAGAUUGGAUCACUUCUCAAGUUCUAAUUCUUUAAUAACAUGGAAGCAUUUUGGUCUUUAAUGAAUGAGGGUUGAUCUAAGCAAAGGAAAUGUACAACUAAAUUUAAAAUUAGUAUUUCCAUUUACUCAAUUAUUUUGUAUGUUAUUUUAAUAAAUUUAAAUUUGAUGAUUA